rnacentral:lncRNA from 1 species
CUGACGGCAAUGCAUGGGCUCCAUCGAUGCAUGUGCCUCGGCAUGAAGGGUGAAUACAAUACGUUUCAUAUGCACAGACCUCAUAGUCUGCAGCAUUUUAAGGGAGGUCAAAUGUGUUUCGCACGCAGCAGCUAGUGCAGCUUUGGCCCGAACACUGUAUAUACGAGCGGCCUACAUAAAGGCAUACCUUUAUACAACGAUUAUAGGCUCUCACAGCUUUUCUUGCGUACACAUGAUAACCUAUAGCCUUCAGGCCUAUAGACCAUGCUGUAUACAACAGAUCGCCUAUAGGUGUGUUGUAUACGAUCAUAUACGCGAAAUCACCUAUACUCCACAUAUUCCGCGGUCCUACCUAUUAGGCGAUGGCCCGGCCUAUAGGUGACUUCCAAUUUUAGAGACGUAUGUGGGCUCACCGAAACUCAAUUACCCCCUUUGGACGUUAGUCUGGGCUGAUGUGCGGUGUUUUUUUCCUUUUUCUCCGUGGCUUUUAGGCGUUGUAGUAUUGCCCUUGGGCCCUCGGCUCGUAUGGGUAGUCUUACAGGUAUGGGGUCACGCACCCC